CCUACGGGUGGCAGCAGUGGGGAAUAUUGCACAAUGGGGGAAACCCUGAUGCAGCGACGCCGCGUGAGUGAAGAAGUAUCUCGGUACGUAAAGCUCUAUCAGCAGGGAAGAUAAUGACGGUACCUGACCCAGAAGCCCCGGCUAACUACGUGCCAGCAGCCGCGGUAAUACGUAGGGGGCAAGCGUUAUCCGGAUUUACUGGGUGUAAAGGGGGCGUAGACGGCAGCACAAGUCUGGAGUGAAAUCCCGGGGCUUAACCCCGGAACUGCUUUGGAAACUGUGCGGCUGGAGUGCAGGAGGGGUAAGCGGAAUGCAUGGUGUAGCGGUGAAAUGCGUAGAUAUUAGGAGGAACACCAGUGGCGAAGGCGGCCUGCUGGACAGAAACUGACGUUGAGGCUCGAAAGCGUGGGGAGCAAACAGGAUUAGAUACCCCAGUAGUC
rnacentral:rRNA from 1 species